UCGAGUCUUUGAACGCAAGUUGCGCCCGAGGCCUAUCGGCCAAGGGCACGUUCGCCUGGGCGUCAAGCGUUGCAUCGCUCCGUGCUAUCUCCAUCCCAUCUAUGGGUGUGUUGGAAAGGGCUCAGAUGCGUAGAGUGGCUCCUCGUGCCAUGGUGCG
rnacentral:rRNA from 1 species